GAUUAUAGCUUCAAGGCUCUUUUAGGAUCCAAAGACUGUCCGUUUCCCCUGAUGGAUUAUAGCUUCAAGACUCUUUUAGGAUCCAAAGACCGUUUCCCCUGGUGGAUUAUAGCUUCAAGGCUCUUUUAGGGUCCAAAGACCGUUUCCCCUGAUGGAUUAUAGCUUCAAGGCUCUUUUAGGGUCCAAAGACCGUUUCCCCUGAUGGAUUAUAGCUUCAAGGCUCUUUUAGGAUCCAAAGACCGUUUCCCCUGAUGGAUUAUAGCUUCAAGGCUCUUUUAGGGUCCAAAGACCGUUUCCCCUGGUGGAUUAUAGCUUCAAGGCUCUUUUAGGAUCCAAAGACCGUCCGUUUCCCCUGAUGGAUUAUAGCUUCAAGGCUCUUUUAGGAUCCAAAGACCGUCCGUUUCCCCUGAUGGAUUAUAGCUUCAAGGCUCUUUUAGGAUCCAAAGACCGUUUCCCCUGAUGGAUUAUAGCUUCAAGGCUCUUUUAGGAUCCAAAGACCGUUUCCCCUGAUGGAUUAUAGC